rnacentral:rRNA from 1 species
GAUGAACGCUAGCGGCAGGCUUAAUACAUGCAAGUCGUGGGGCAGCGCAGUGUAGCAAUACAUGGGCGGCGACCGGCAAACGGGUGCGUAACACGUACGCAACCUUCCCGUUACUGGGGAAUAGCCCAGGGAAACUUGGAUUAAUACCCCAUAUUAUAUUUACUGGGCAGCUAAUUAAUAUCAAAGCUUCGGCGGUAACGGAUGGGCGUGCGGUUGAUUAGGUAGUUGGCGGGGUAACGGCCCACCAAGCCUACGAUCAAUAGCUGAUGUGAGAGCAUGAUCAGCCACACGGGCACUGAGACACGGGCCCGACUCCUACGGGAGGCAGCAGUAAGGAAUAUUGGGCAAUCGACGAAAGUCUGACCCAGCCAUGCCGCGUGGAGGAUGAAGGUCCUCUGGAUUGUGAACUUCUUUUUUCUGGGGCGAAAACCGGUUUUUCUAAACCAUUUGACAGUACCAGAAGAAUAAGCACCGGCUAACUCCGUGCCAGCAGCCGCGGUAACAC